rnacentral:rRNA from 1 species
GAUGAACGCUGGCGGCGUGCCUAACACAUGCAAGUCGAACGGAGUUGUCACCAUGAAGUUUUCGGAUGGAAUGGAGGCAACUUAGUGGCGGACGGGUGAGUAACGCGUGGGUAACCUGCCUCAUACUGGGGGAUAACAGCUGGAAACGGCUGCUAAAACCGCAUAAGAUCGCAUCACCGCAUGGUGAGGCGGUUAAAUAUCGAAAGAUAGGUAUGAGAUGGGCCCGCGUCUGAUUAGCUAGUUGGUGAGAUAAGAGCCCACCAAGGCGACGAUCAGUAGCCGGCUUGAGAGAGUGACCGGCCACAUUGGGACUGAGACACGGCCCAAACUCCUACGGGAGGCAGCAGUGGGGAAUAUUGCACAAUGGGGGAAACCCUGAUGCAGCGACGCCGCGUGAGUGAAGAAGUGCUUCGGCAUGUAAAGCUCUAUCAGCAGGGAAGAAGAUGACGGUACCUGACUAAGAAGCCCCGGUAACUACG